rnacentral:rRNA from 1 species
CGUGUAGGCGGCCACCGCAAGUCGACUGUGAAAUCUCCGGGCUUAACUCGGAAAGGUCAGCCGAUGCUGCGGGGCUAGAGUGCGGAAGGGGCAACUGGAAUUCUCGGUGUAGCGGUGAAAUGCGUAGAUAUCGAGAGGAACACCUGCGGCGAAGGCGGGUUGCUGGGCUGACACUGACGCUGAAACGCGAAAGCUAGGGGAGCGAACG